AAUUUUAUUUCUUGGAGUUAUUCAACGUCAGGAAGUUUUCGCAGGCUUAGCGGUAAACGCGCGAUGAGCAGACGGCCUGACGACGUGUAAUCUUGGGAGAUCGAAAUUAUGGUGAGGUUAUGUUCUCCUUGUGCGUUUGACAGGUGUGUAACGCGUGGUGUCAAACGCGAGAAAUCUACGAGAGGUAUGCAAAGCGAAGAAAAAGCAAGGUUCACUACGUCGGGUACUCUGGCGGUCGGAAGAUUGACGGCGACGAAGCGAGAGGAGACGAUGUGUGGGACAUCGCGGUGACCGGAAGGUCCGGUGACUGGCUCCGUGAUCGUCGUGUGACGCGAAGAAUCAGGAACAGCGGUCCUGAAGGAGAGGAGACUGGCGGGAGCGAUGAGCGUUUCAGGUGAAUAUCUACGUCCGAACAAUGCACUGAGAGAGAUGUGCAGCGACCUGGUUCACUCCUGAUGUCCUGAGCAUCCUGAGGGAGGCGUCCCGGAAAGUGAAAGUCUCAUACGUCCUGAGAGAGGCCCGCAAGGAAUAAGAUGGUACAGGCACCCUUGAUCGGAAGGAUAGUCAAGAGAAUAAUUUGUUGUACAAUCAGAUAAGUGUCUUUUAAAUCUAUUUCCUGAAUCACAUUAACUGAUUAUGCUACUAAUUAUAUGAAGAACAGAGUAAAGGCUUGUAAAAACUUUCUGUUUCAGAAUGGAGUAACUGCUGGGAUAUAUGCGCCUGAGGGGCUGGGAUACAAGGAUAAUGGAUACUAUGCAUCGUGGGAUAGAAUAAAUACACCAUAAAAUUUAAGGUAAUCACUUUGCUUUAAUUGCAAUAACUGUAGCGAAGUAUUAAUGGUUUCUAUUUUUGAGUCCCUUUUUAUAAUAACUUGUAAUUCACGCGGUUUAAAAUAAAGAAAAGUAUAGAAGAAUUUAAUAUGAUAAAAGUCGAAGCGAGAUAUUUGCAAGAAAGUCGUUAAGUCAAAAGUUCGUAAAUAAUAGUGAUCACUAAUACCGAGGAAAGUAA